GGGGCCCUUUCCAUUUCACAGUAAAACCAUUUGAGUUUCACAGCGCUCCAGCAACUUUCCAGAGACUCAUGGACCAGGUCAUUUGUUAUUUCUCUGGUUUUGCUGCAGCAUAUCUAGAUGUCAUUGUCAUUUACAGUAACACGUGGGAGGAACACCUGCAAGCUGUCUUGUAUCGCCUUCAUUCUGCCUGGCUGACUGUCAUCCUGUCGAAGUACCUAGGCCACGUCAUCUUCAAUGGGGUUGUACGCCCUCAGGUCAACAAAAUCCAGGCCAUAGAGUCCUCGCCCCUGCCACAAACAAGGAAGCAGUGCUGAUCUUUUUUGGGCUAUCAGGCUUCUAUCACUGCUUCAAACCCAAUUUCUCCAACAGGGCAGCUCUUCUCACAGACUUGACUAGAUCCUGGAGUCCCAAUCAGAUCCAGUGGACAGAGACGGCAGUGGCAGCUUUCAGUGAUAUCCAUCAAUCAUUGACUUUGACGAACAUUUUCUUCUGCAAACUGAUGCUUCUGACAGGGCUUUGGGAGCUGUGUUACUCCAGGGACUUCAGGAUGAUCGGCAUCCAGUCGCUACAUCAGCUGGAAACUGUUCCCCAGAGAGGUUUGAUCUUUGACGGUGGAGAAGGAGGCACUGGCUAUCAAGUGGGCCCUUGAUUCCUUCCGGUACUACCUUCUUGCUCAAGAGUUCACCUUGGAGACGGAUCACAAAAAUAAAAACCUACCUUUUCUUUAAACUUACUCCUGUGUCUCGUGCCUUACUGCUUGGUCCCUAGCAGUCCCCCACAAGAGAAUCCUACUCACCAGGGUAAGAGUGUUUAUAAGUCACACUACAAGUGAAGGCCUGUGUCUGGUCAUGAAAUGUUUGUCUGAUUUCACCUAUGGCUUUGAUGAUGUCACCAGUUGUAAUAAUCCCAAUGAAUUUCAUUACCUACAUAAAGAUGUGGCUUCUUCUUUAGGCUUUGGUAGAGAAACCAUCCAGUGGUGACGGGAAGACGUACCACUAUCUCCUCACACAGAAAUACGAGGGAAAAUAUGUACACCCAUUUUUCUGCCCCAUAGAAAAAAUGGAUGUAGGAUCUUUGAAAGAGGUUACCCUCUUCUGUUAGGGUUAUUUUUUAUUUUCUGAUAAGCAGAACUUUAAUCCCACCUCUCUACACAUUCAGCUCCAGUCUCAAAUCAAGAGAGACUUAUGCUCGACCAAUGAUUACCACAUCAAGGGCUGCAGUACAGUGGUGAUGUUCAGUCUGGGCCAUGAAAACACUUGGAGGAUUAUUAUGAUUCCAAAGAGGUGCAGAAUCUCAAGUCCCUGGAAGAAAUACGACUGCAGACUUUCACUUCAAGUCUUUGAGAAGGCUGUAAUCAUUCUAAUUGAACUGACUUUGACCGGGAAGCGUACGGAGUGUGGAGUUCUUCAUGCUGAUCGCCCGCCACAGUGGAGAGCAGUGUCCUGACUUGUGACGAGCUUCUUCUACAGUAUAUCAAGGGGUGGUGUGACCUGUCUGUAAAUCAGGUUUUCGUAAAAGGUGGAUUUUGGGCUCAUCCAGAAGACCAUUCAUCGACAAGAGCAUCCACCAUAGAACUGUGAGCAGCUAACUGGAUAGUGAGCCCAACCUUCAAGACCUCAAGUGGGAUUAAAAAGACUGUUUCUUCUAAGGAAGAACUUCCUUUGCUACUUCAUAGAGCACAGAUGAAACACACACCUGGAUUGAGCCCCAAUGAAAAAGACUGGGCUUAGACACUUCAAAUGUUUGUUUUAUUUCAUGUGCAUGUUUAUUAAGUUGUUAAUUGUAUAUUGUAAUCUUGAUCUGCAAUAUUUGUGUUCCUUACAUACAAAGUUUGAAAAUGUAUUCCUGUGUGCAUCUCUUGACUGGUAUUCAGACCUUGGGCUCCAGGAGUCCUACUUCUCUGAUGUUUGUCCACCUUCAACACUUUAUUUACAUUAACAUGGGUUAAAAACAACUAUGCUUUUCCCCUGAAUUUGCUCAGAUAUGUUGGUAGCUAUGACACACCAAAUGUUUUCAUAAUGUUGUUAGCAGUUAAAGAUAAUACUUGUAUUUGUAGUAGCGUCUUUUUACCAACUGUUUGAAUGGAAGUUCAAUAGACCUCCUUUUUGUUUCUCCGUUUACUUGAAAGUUGGACCCUGUUCCCACUGAGCUGUUAAUAAGUGCAUAAUAAA